CUUAUGCGUUGUUGGGUAGGGGAGCGUUCUGUAAGCCUGCGAAGGUGGCCUGUGAGGGUUGCUGGAGGUAUCAGAAGUGCGAAUGCUGACAUAAGUAACGAUAAAGCGGGUGAAAAGCCCGCUCGCCGGAAGACCAAGGGUUCCUGUCCAACGUUAAUCGGGGCAGGGUGAGUCGACCCCUAAGGCGAGGCCGAAAGGCGUAGUCGAUGGGAAACGGGUUAAUAUUCCCGUACUUGGUGUUACUGCGAAGGGGGGACGGAGAAGGCUAUGUUGGCCGGGCGACGGUUGUCCCGGUUUAAGUGUGUAGGUGUGUGUUCCAGGUAAAUCCGGUUCACUUUAACACUGAGGCGUGACGACGAGGCACUACGGUGCUGAAGCAACAAAUGCCCUGCUUCCAGGAAAAGCCUCUAAGCAUCAGGUAACAUCAAAUCGUACCCCAAACCGACACAGGUGGUCAGGUAGAGAAUACCAAGGCGCUUGAGAGAACUCGGGUGAAGGAACUAGGCAAAAUGGUGCCGUAACUUCGGGAGAAGGCACGCUGACACGUAGGUGAAGUGAUUUACUCAUGGAGCUGAAGUCAGUCGAAGAUACCAGCUGGCUGCAACUGUUUAUUAAAAACACAGCACUGUGCAAACACGAAAGUGGACGUAUACGGUGUGACGCCUGCCCGGUGCCGGAAGGUUAAUUGAUGGGGUCAGCGCAAGCGAAGCUCCUGAUCGAAGCCCCGGUAAACGGCGGCCGUAACUAUAACGGUCCUAAGGUAGCGAAAUUCCUUGUCGGGUAAGUUCCGACCUGCACGAAUGGCGUAAUGAUGGCCAGGCUGUCUCCACCCGAGACUCAGUGAAAUUGAACUCGCUGUGAAGAUGCAGUGUACCCGCGGCAAGACGGAAAGACCCCGUGAACCUUUACUAUAGCUUGACACUGAACAUUGAGCCUUGAUGUGUAGGAUAGGUGGGAGGCUUUGAAGUGUGGACGCCAGUCUGCAUGGAGCCGACCUUGAAAUACCACCCUUUAAUGUUUGAUGUUCUAACGUGGACCCGUUACCCGGGUUGCGGACAGUGUCUGGUGGGUAGUUUGACUGGGGCGGUCUCCUCCUAAAGAGUAACGGAGGAGCACGAAGGUUGGCUAAUCCUGGUCGGACAUCAGGAGGUUAGUGCAAUGGCAUAAGCCAGCUUGACUGCGAGCGUGACGGCGCGAGCAGGUGCGAAAGCAGGUCAUAGUGAUCCGGUGGUUCUGAAUGGAAGGGCCAUCGCUCAACGGAUAAAAGGUACUCCGGGGAUAACAGGCUGAUACCGCCCAAGAGUUCAUAUCGACGGCGGUGUUUGGCACCUCGAUGUCGGCUCAUCACAUCCUGGGGCUGAAGUAGGUCCCAAGGGUAUGGCUGUUCGCCAUUUAAAGUGGUACGCGAGCUGGGUUUAGAACGUCGUGAGACAGUUCGGUCCCUAUCUGCCGUGGGCGCUGGAGAACUGAGGGGGGCUGCUCCUAGUACGAGAGGACCGGAGUGGACGCAUCACUGGUGUUCGGGUUGUCAUGCCAAUGGCACUGCCCGGUAGCUAAAUGCGGAAGAGAUAAGUGCUGAAAGCAUCUAAGCACGAAACUUGCCCCGA
rnacentral:rRNA from 1 species